CCAGACACUGGGCUAUAGGUCCAGACACUGAGCUAUAGGUCCAGACACUGAGCUAUAGAUCCAGACACUGGGCUAUAGGUCCAGACACUGGGCUAUAGAUCCAGACACUGAGCUAUAGAUCCAGACACUGAGCUAUAGAUCCAGACACUGGGCUAUAGGUCCAGACACUGAGCUAUAGGUCCAGACACUGAGCUAUAGGUCCAGACACUGAGCUAUAGAUCCAGACACUGGGCUAUAGGUCCAGACACUGGGCUAUAGAUCCAGACACUGAGCUAUAGAUCCAGACACUGAGCUAUAGAUCCAGACACUGAGCUAUAGAUCCAGACACUGGGCUAUAGAUCCAGACACUGAGCUAUAGAUCCAGACACUGAGCUAUAGAUCCAGACACUGGGCUAUAGGUAGACACUGAGCUAUAGAUCCAGACACUGAGCUAUAGAUCCAGACACUGAGCUAUAGAUCCAGACACUGAGCUAUAGGUCCAGACACUGAGCUAUAGGUCCAGACACUGAGCUAUAGGUAGACACUGAGCUAUAGAUCCAGACACUGAGCUAUAGAUCCAGACACUGAGCUAUAGGUCCAGACACUGAGCUAUAGGUAGACACUGAGCUAUAGGUAGACACUGAGCUAUAGAUCCAGACACUGAGCUAUAGAUCCAGACACUGAGCUAUAGAUCCAGACACUGAGCUAUAGGUCCAGACACUGAGCUAUAGGUCCAGACACUGAGCUAUAGGUAGACACUGAGCUAUAGAUCCAGACACUGAGCUAUAGAUCCAGACACUGAGCUAUAGAUCCAGACACUGAGCUAUAGAUCCAGACACUGAGCUAUAGAUCCAGACACUGAGCUAUAGAUCCAGACACUGAGCUAUAGGUCCAGACACUGAGCUAUAGAUCCAGACACUGAGCUAUAGAUCCAGACACUGAGCUAUAGAUCCAGACACUGAGCUAUAGAUCCAGACACUGAGCUAUAGAUCCAGACACUGAGCUAUAGAUCCAGACACUGAGCUAUAGGUCCAGACACUGAGCUAUAGGUAGACACUGAGCUAUAGAUCCAGACACUGAGCUAUAGAUCCAGACACUGAGCUAUAGAUCCAGACACUGAGCUAUAGAUCCAGACACUGAGCUAUAGAUCCAGACACUGAGCUAUAGAUCCAGACACUGAGCUAUAGGUCCAGACACUGAGCUAUAGGUCCAGACACUGAGCUAUAGGUCCAGACACUGAGCUAUAGAUCCAGACACUGAGCUAUAGAUCCAGACACUGAGCUAUAGGUAGACACUGAGCUAUAGGUUCAGACACUGAUGAUGACGUACGUAUGGCCUCAUCUA